AAAAAAAUAAAUAAAUAAAUAAUAAAAACAAAACGACAUUCGAAAGCUAGUAAUACUUGCGUCCACAUUAACCGAUAACUAACUCUUCCCAAUCGCCUUUGUUUCAUUCAUUAGCACAAUGAUUACGGUAUCAGGAAAUGAAACAACCAGUCAUAAAGUGCGUGAUAAUUGCUAAUUUGUCAUCACGUUUCGGUGUAUAUGCCGAGUCGUUAAGACCAUUCGCACACACACAUAUAUAUAUAUAUAUAUAUAUAUGUAACACGUGGUUUUGUGGCUACACAUUAGUGAAAACUCUAUUUCCGUAUUGCGUUCCCGAGCGAAUGUAAUUCCUCCUUGCAACGUUCAUUGUUAGUUACGCUACUUUUUGUUUACGUCUGUGUCAUCCUUGUAAUAAAGUGCUUUUGUGGUUUUGCUUAGACGAUGUUUUAUUUUCAAACGAUUGUUGUUUAUGCGUGAAUAGACCUGCUGCAGUGCUUCGGUUCUACGCAUAUAAAUUUUUAGUAAAGAUUAAGUGCACGAGUGUUGGAAAUGCAAUGAAUAUGCUUUGGUUAUAUUUUAUGUGCCGAUAGGGUUAUUAUUUUAUGAGUGAAUAACUGCUGCUGCUGCUGCUGCUACGGUUUUGUGUCUAAAAGAGAAACUUAGAAGCAAGUUUAGCAUGGAAUCUAAAGUGCGAUUAACUCGUAAUUACACAAAAUGGAUCUUUCAAAAUUAUAUGCUAAAUGGAUUACACUAGAUACAGUUUAAGAAUUUAUCAACCACGAUGAAAUGAAUUAUUCUGAUCAUAUAAGAGAAAGCACACAAGGAUGUUUUCCUUCACAACUCGCACCUGAAGAAGAAGAAUUAAUAAAAUAAAAUAAAUAAAUAAAUCUUUGAAAACCAGCAAAGAAAAAAACCACAAAUUGCAUAAAAUUUCAAAAGGAAUUUAUUUUUUUUUUGGGGUUGAAAAUGGCCAAGAAAACGAGGGGAUAUAAGCAUUACUGCUGUUAGGUAUUGAGUUAUCGUACUGCAAUGUUAUUAUAUCUUAAUAACGAGAAAAAUACUAUGAAAUGAAAAUACCAAUAACAAAAAAAAAAAUGAAAAUGAAAAUGAAAAUAAUAAUAAAUAAAUUCGUUGCACUGUAGAGGACUAGAAAAAUGUAAUCAAUGAAAAUAAGGAAAAGCUUUGACAAUCAAUGCGAUAAAUAAAUUUAAUAAACAACUUGAACAACAAUAACAGCAAGAACACCAACAACUGCUAUUCAGUUAUGAAAGUCAAAUAACGCUAUGCGAAAACGUUAAAAGGAAAUAACAGGAAACAGAAGAAGAAAAAG